rnacentral:lncRNA from 1 species
AUUUGAUGUUUUUUUAACACAAACUAACAAACAGCUGACUGUUGACUUCUUGUAUCUGGAGCUCUCCAUGUGCGGAGCAAUGGCUUAGCAGUUCAGAUUGGGCGGUCCUGCUCCACUAACAUAGCAGAGUUAUUUCCUGGCUCACGUCGUGAGGAAGACUGUCCUAGGCUCAGAGUGGUUCGAAAGCCGGCGGACUGUGGUCUAUUCCCUCCCGAUCACUAGGUAGCUUAUGCUCUGCAAACCAGCAACAGUUCCACCCGUGUGCAUGCUGGUUUAUGGAAAAUGGCAGAAAGCUGGGCUGUCCAAGGCAACGGAAGGUAAAGAGGUCUCAUUGGAGUGUGACAAGCUUCCACGGGCCAGAAUGACCAUGGUUACAAUCCUUUGCGGGGAAGGCCCAGCAAACUUGGCUUCAAAUCCUGAUGCUGCCACUUACUACCCACGUGUCCUUGAGAAGGGCACUCAAUCUGUCUGUCUGAAUUUCCUCAAGUGUAACAUAGAGAUACAGG